rnacentral:lncRNA from 1 species
UUUUUUUUUUUUUUUUGUCUUUUUGCUAUUUCUUUGGGCCGCUCCCACGGCAUAUGGAGGUUCCCAGGCUAGGGGUCCAAUCGGAGCUGUAGCCCCUGGCCUACGCCAGAGCCACAGCAACGCAGGAUCCGAGCCACGUCUGCAACCUACACCACAGCUCACGGCAACGCCGGAUCGUCAACCCACUGAGCAAGGGUAGGGACCGAACCCGCAAACUCAUGGUUCCGAGUCGGAUUCGUUAACCACUGCGCCACGACAGGAACUCCUGAAUACCCAUUCUCUUCAAUCACACAGGGUAUAUUUUCCAGAAUAGAUAAUAUGUUAGGUCACAAAAUCAAUCUUAAUGAAUUUAAGAAAAUUGAAAUCUUUAUCUAGCACUUUUUAUGACCACAGUUGUAUGAAACUAGAAAUCAAUUACAGGAAGAAAACUGGAAAAUUCCUGAAUAUGUAGAUAUUAAAACACGUGUUCCUGAACAGUCAAUGAAUCAAAGAAGAAAUCAAAAGAGAAAUAAGAAAUUAUCUUGAGAAAAGUGAACUUGGGAAUAAAACAUAACAAAAGCUUAUGAGAUACAGCUAAAAAAGUACUAAAGGGAAGUUUAUACCAAUAAAUGCCUUCAUUAAGAAAAAGGAAGAAAAAUAUUAAAUGACCUAACUUUGAUCUCAAGGGACUAGAAAAAGAGGAAAAAAAUAAGCUCAAAGUUAGUUGUAGCAAGGAAAUAACAAAGAGCAGAAAUAAAUUAUAUAAAGACCAGAAAAAUAAUAGAAAAAAAUCAAUGAGACAAAGCAAUUUUUUUGAAAACUCAAACAAAAUUGACAAAAAAUUCCUAUUCUUACCAAGAAAGGAAGAGAGAGGACUCAGACAAAUUAAAUUAUAAAUGAAAAUUGUUGCAUUACAGUUGAUAUUAUAUAAAUAGAAAGGGUUAUAAGAGACUACUAUGAACAAUUUUAUAUUAACAUAGAAGAAUUUUACAUUAACAUAGACAACCUAGAAGAAACAAAGUCGUCAAAACAAUAUCUAUGAAAACUAAGUCAUGAAAAAUAAAAAUCUAAACAGGUCAUUUACUAGCAAAAAAAAUUGAAUGUGUAAUAAUAAUAAUAGAAAAAAACUCCCAAAAAAGAAAAGCUCAGGACCAUGUGGCUUCACAGGUGAAUUCUACCAAAUAUUUAAAGAAGAAAGAAUACCAAUGGUUCUCAAACUCUUUCAAACAUACAAAAGGGAUGGUACACUUUCACACUGAUUUUGCAAUGUCAGUCUUACACUGAUCCUAAAGCCAGAAACCUACAUUACCCCCAUAUCUCAGUGAUACUGUGGGUUCCAUUCCAGUCUGCUGCAAUAAAGCAAGUCACAUGAAUUUUUUGGUUUCCCAGUGCAUAUAAAAAUGAUAUUAAACUAGUAAAAAAUAGCAUUUUGUCUAAUAUGUAUCUUGGAGUUUCUGUGGUGGUACAGUGGGUUAGGAAUACGACUGCCGCUGCUUGGGUCACUGUGGAGGUGCUAGUUGGAGUUAAAUGAUCCAGCAUUGUUGCAACUGUGGUGUUGGUCACAGGUGUGGCUUGGAUUCAUUCCCUGGCCUGGGAAUUCCAUAUGGCAUGGGUGCCGCCAUAAAACUAAAACAAAAAUGAAAAAUAAAAAAUGUCCAUACUUAAUUGAAAAAAAAUGUUAAUUUUUUAUUAUUAUUAAAAAAUAUUGCUAAAAAAUGUUAAUCAUCAACUGAGUCUUCAGAGAGCCAUAACAGUAGCAUCAAAAUCACUGAUCACAGAUUAUCAUAACAAAUAUAAUAAUAAUGAAAAAGUUUGAAAUAUUUUGGGGAUUACCAAAUGUGACACAGAGACACCAAGUGAGCAAAUGCUGUUGGAAAAAUGGUUCUGAUGAACUUGUUCAACACCGGGGUUUCCAAAAACCUUCCACUUGUAAAAGUACAAAAUCUGAGAAACACAAUCAAAGGAGGCAUGCUUGUACAAGAAAAUAAAAUUACAGUCCAAUAUACAUUAAAGUAUUCAGUGAAUGGGAAAGUACUAUAGAAAUAUGAGCUACUAUUUUUAUUAUUAUUACUAAGCAUUGACAGACUCAAAAAUAUAGCCCAUAUUUUCACAGCAGUGAGUGUUCAGUGAGGAUUAUUAACUAUACUGGGCUACCAAAUUGUAGUUUUUAAAGUGUUUUCACCCAUUUAGCAAGUUGGUACUAGAUUUUUAAAUAGUAAAAUAAUUUGAUAAGUCAACUUUCCUGGAAGUAUUUUCACACUUUUCACAUUCACUGACUUCAUAUACAUAUUAGUGACUUGGGACUCAAUACUACUAAUUAUACAACUAAUGUCAGGAACUGGGCUAGUUACUGUGUGUGCCUCAUCUGCCUUAAACUUCAUAAUUCUAUAUAGUGGGUAUAAUUACUCUAAAUUCAUAGAUAAGAAAAAUGAGGAUUAAUGAGAUUAUUAUAAACACCAUGUGUCAAAAAUUGCAUAACCAACAGAGGUAUGUUUUGAGUCCAAAAAUGUCAAAUUUCGUAGACAGCCCUUGUGCUUGACCAUGAUUUUCACUAGACAGUGUAGAUGCUCGAUAUUCACCUUCAAAUGAAUGAAAGAAUGAAUGAAUGAAUAUAUCCUUAGCUUAGAUCUGAGGACUUUACAAAGACAAUAUUUCAGGAAGGGAAAGUGUCUGGAUCCCUACCAUGCAGAUUGUGCGUAAUUAUAUAUUUUAAAAAAUUCCGCAGUUAUCUCAAAUCCAAAAGAAUCAAAUUGUAACUCACUAUUUUCCAAGUUAUACUUGUUCCAUGUCCUGUGUUUCCUGAAUUACUAAAGGUAUCGCUAUACACCCAGUUGCCUGCAUUAAGUAUUUAAAAUCCUCUCUCUACCGUAUCUCCUAUUCAUAAUCCAUUUCUAAAUCAUGUAUAUUUUUCUGUGAGGUCUCUCAAAUGCAUCCAUUUCCCAUCUUGUUCCAGCCGUCACUAUGCCUCAGCUGGGUUACUGCAAUAGAGUCCUAAAUGAUCUUUCUCACUCCCUUCCUUUCUCCAUGCUGCUGUUAGAUGGUCCCUUCUAUCAUUAGAUUUGAUGACACUAUGUUUCUGCUUUAAACAUGAAAAGUCUUCCAACUGUGAUGAGGACAGGGCUCAAACAUCUCAGCUUGGCUCUAAGGAUUUCCUCAUUGCUCUUUCUCCAAUUUACUUCAUUGCCCACUAAUUGCCGCCUCAUACUUUCCACCAUCAAAAUAGUUACUUAGUUGCGCUUUCACAAAUGGGCCAAGUUUUCAAUGUCCUUACAGCUUUUUCCUUUCUUUUCCUCUGCCUGGAAUGCCUCUUCUCACACCUAGCCUAAGUAAUGCUGAAAGCAAGACUAACUAGAUAGUAACAUUCCCAUAAGCUUUACCAGCAGAAGCCUACACAAUUCCCCAUAAACUCCUGUUAUGAUACUAUCCCACCUCAUUAAUUACUUACUUGCCACUGAACACACUAAGUGAAAUCACCUUGAGGCCGUGAGUCAUAUCUUUUUUUUUCUUUCAGUUUUAUAUAUUCACAAUUUAGCAUGCCUGGCACAAUUUUGCUGCUCAAAAAACUGUUUCAAGUAACAUAAUCAAUGAAUAAUAAAUGGACAAAUAGAAAGGAAGGAAGGAAAGAGGGAGAAAGGAAGUAGAGAGUAAGAAAGGAAGAAAGAAAAAUGUAUGUCCUCUUGCUCAAGAAGAAAAUAAAAACUUAAUACUCUUGGUUUUGGGGGUAUGGGGAUGGGAUCAGAAGCACUGUAAGAUGCAAGUGUUAUUUUUAGAGAAAAUAAAUUACAGUAUGUUUCUUGUAUAGCAGACUGUAAACCUAUCACCUCCUGCUGUAAAUCUGACCCACUAUGGAAUAAAUCUUGCCUGUAAUCUCAGUGUUUUUCAUAAAAUAGUAUUCUAUUAUUUAAAAGUGUAAAAUUAUCUAAUCUUCCAUUCCAAAGCUUCACUUUUCAAAAAAAAAAAAAAGAAGGAUUAUUGAAAUUUAUAAAUUUGGCCAUGGCAAAAUGGCAUUUAUGUUUUUCAGAGUUAAAAUGAAAUAAAACAUAUAACUUGUUGGGUUUUGCUUUCAUGACAAAUAGGCACUGACAAAUACAUACCACAUUACCAUCCUUGAUUGCUCUGAUGGAACUCAUUUUCAUCUUGUGUUCCUCUAAUUACAUGAAAAUUGCAUACUUUUUAUGCAUGACACAUUUUGCACAGCUUUAGCAAAAGGUUGUGAAGAGAGGGGGAAAAAAAAAAACAUUUAUCAGUUUUUUCCCCUUUCACAGUGGCAAUUGAUCAUCUUCCCAGCAAUCAAUCUUGCUUUAUGGGACUACUUUUUGCCACUAUUGUUGUAACCAAGUGGCAGCAGAAAGGCACUGUACACAAAAAAAUAUGGUGGAUGGUUUUAGGUGUUUUUCUCUGCUCUUAUUAGAUGAGAUUUAGGAUGCCCUUGCUUUCCACCAAUUGUUCUGAGUUGCUUUCUUUGCUCUUCAUCCCCCUCUCUGCUGGGAUUUGAAGCUUUUAUCAUAGAAAGAGAUGUAGGAAUCCUAAGAAUCCUGCCCCACCCUUUAUUUCUCAUUCAAAGUAUUUUACAUUUAUAGAGAAUAUUUAACAUUGUAAAGCACUCUCUUAUCAAUUUUUUUUUUAAUUUUUAGUUUCACAAUGAAAUGGGAUAUAUUUAGAGAAGAUCAUUUGAAUCUGCAGUUUAAAGAUGAGGAAAUUGAAUGAUUAUGACUUUGACUUGCCUAAAUUGGUGUGAUUUAUUUGUUUUUAAUCUUAACGUUGACUCAGAAGUCCUGGCUUCCAGUCCCAGCUAUUCUCAGAGGGUUUGGCUUCUCUUUAAUGAAGACCUGGGAACAUAAUUUCUCUGCUACCUCUCCUUAAAAUACAUACAAAGAAGACACCAAUAACAAAUACAGGAGGAAAUUACAGGCAAUCAAUUGGGUGCAGGCUCCUAAAGCCUCUUUCGUUUCCCUUUUUUGGACAAGCGCAGCACCUGACCAGCUUCGGGAGAACAAAGACUCCAUCUGGACCGAAGGGAAAGAGCUGGUCGCCUGUGGAGCCACAGAGAACAAGGCUCUGCUUCCCUUUGAAGUGCUGGCGUUCUUCUUAAUCACCUGGCAAAGUCUUAAUUUAAAGAGGGGCUCUUAGAGAAGCAGGGGAUCUCAGGUAUAUUUGACUUUCAUACCCAAUCUACUUACCUUUCAUCAGGUUUAUUAAAAUUGGUGAUGUGUUAAUUGUGAACCCCGUUUGUAUCUGA